AAAGUCAUAAAAGCUACCCAGUAGGAAUAAAGUCCGCCCACUCAUCAGCUCUGUUGCUAAGAUUCUGUGUUGAUUCCUGACUCAGAGGAUGGAGCAGCGUGCAGCCAAUUGUUCUGGAAGAACUCUGACUUUGUGGGACUCAGAGUGCCUUCCUAGGUGGUCUCUGGAGGGGUCAAAUAACUUCAAGCAGGGUGCUGCUGGUUCCCAUUUGGGGACUACCUCUGAAGCCAAGGCUGAACUCCCCCUCUCCUGACUCCUCCUCCUCUUCUCUCCCUCCCAUUCCCCCUCCUCCCCCAUACUGUCUUGCCCCUCCCCUCUUCCUUCUCCUGCCUCCCUCUCUUCUCUCCUUUCCUCCCAACUCUCUUUUCCUGUCUUCCCCUCCUCUCACCACCUUUUCUUCCUCAUUGAUCCCUCUCCUCUCUCUCCCUCCUUCCUCUCCUUUCUCCCUCCCCUCUCCUCUUUUCCCUCUGCAUCUUCAGACCUUCAAAGAUGCUAAUCUUCAGAUUAAGAGGAUACCAAAGAUGUUUUGGUAUCAGAUAAUCUGAUUUUUUUUUCAAAUAUUCAUUAUAGAUGUCCUACCAAAUUGGCUUCCAGGCUGUUACAAUGGCUCAAUGCAAAGAUUUGGCACUAAGCCUAACUAACAACCCGAGUCUCAUCCUUGGAACUGUUUAAAAAAGAUUUUGUUUUGGAGUGGAGUGGUUGCUCAUGCCACACCUUUGAUCCCAGCA
rnacentral:lncRNA from 1 species